AUUGAACGCUGGCGGCAUGCCUUACACAUGCAAGUCGAACGGUAACAGGUCUUCGGAUGCUGACGAGUGGCGAACGGGUGAGUAAUACAUCGGAACGUGCCUAGUAGUGGGGGAUAACUACUCGAAAGAGUGGCUAAUACCGCAUGAGAUCUACGGAUGAAAGCAGGGGAUCGCAAGACCUUGUGCUACUAGAGCGGCCGAUGGCAGAUUAGGUAGUUGGUGGGAUAAAAGCUUACCAAGCCGACGAUCUGUAGCUGGUCUGAGAGGACGAUCAGGCCAACGGGGACUGAGGCACGGCCCAGACUCCUACGGGAGGCAGCAGUGGGGAAUUUUGGACAAUGGGCGCAAGCCUGAUCCAGCAAUGCCGGGUGCAGGAUGAAGGCCUUCGGGUUGUAAACUGCUUUUGUACGGAACGAAAAGCCCUGGGUUAAUACCCUGGGGUCAUGACGGUACCGUAAGAAUAAGCACCGACUAACUACGUGCCAGCCGCCGCUGUAACAC
rnacentral:rRNA from 1 species